rnacentral:rRNA from 1 species
UCCAGACUCCUACGGGAGGCAGCAGUGGGGAAUAUUGCACAAUGGGGGGAACCCUGAUGCAGCGACGCCGCGUGGGCGAGGAAGUAUUUCGGUAUGUAAAGCCCUAUCGGCAGGGAAGAAGAAAUGACGGUACCUGAAUAAGAAGCACCGGCUAAAUACGUGCCAGCAGCCGCGGUAAUACGUAUGGUGCAAGCGCUAUCCGGAUUUACUGGGCGUAAAGGGAGCGCAGGCGGCGCGCCAAGUCUGAUGUGAAACGCCGGGGCUCAACCCCGGGCAUGCAUUGGAAACUGGCGGGCUGGAGUGCCGGAGAGGGAAGCGGAAUUCCUAGUGUAGCGGUGAAAUGCGUAGAUAUCAGGAGGAACACCGGCGGCGAAGGCGGCCUGCUGGACCGCUACUGACGUUGAGGCUCGAAAGCGUGGGGAGCGAACAGGAUUAGAUACCCGUGUAGA